CAGUAGCCACGGUAAUACGGAGGGGGCUAGCGUUGUUCGGAAUUACUGGGCGUAAAGCGCACGUAGGCGGCUUGGUAAGUUAGAGGUGAAAGCCCGGAGCUCAACUCCGGAAUUGCCUUUAAGACUGCCGAGCUAGCAGGUGAGAGAGGUAAGUGGAAUUCCGAGUGUAGAGGUGAAAUUCGUAGAUAUUCGGAAGAACACCAGUGGCGAAGGCGGCUUACUGGCUCAUACUGGACGCUGAGGUGCGAAAGCGUGGGGAGCAAACAGGAUUAGAUACCCGCGUAGUCCCUGUCUCUUAUAU
rnacentral:rRNA from 1 species